rnacentral:rRNA from 1 species
UGCUCCUACGGGACGCAGCAGUGAGGAAUAUUGGUCAAUGGUCGGGAGACUGAACCAGCCAAGCCGCGUGAGGGAUGAAGGUACAGAGUAUCGUAAACCUCUUUUGUCAGGGAACAAAGGCGGGGACGUGUCCCCGGAUGAGGAUACCUGAAGAAAAAGCAUCGGCUAACUCCGUGCCAGCAGCGGCGGUAAUACGGAGGAUGCGAGAGUUAUCCGGAUUUAUUGGGUUUAAAGGGUGCGCAGGCGGUCUGGUAAGU